rnacentral:rRNA from 1 species
GGGAAUAUUGGACAAUGGGCGAAAGCCUGAUCCAGCCAUGCCGCAUGAGUGAAGAAGGCCUUAGGGUUGUAAAGCUCUUUUAGUGAGGAAGAUAAUGACGGUACUCACAGAAGAAGUCCUGGCUAACUCCGUGCCAGCAGCCGCGGUAAUACGGAGAGGGCUAGCGUUAUUCGGAAUUAUUGGGCGUAAAGAGCGCGUAGGCUGAUUAGUAAGUUAAAAGUGAAAUCCCAGGGCUUAACCUUGGAAUUGCUUUUAAAACUGCUAGUCUAGAGAUUGAAAGAGGAUAGAGGAAUUCCUAGUGUAGAGGUGAAAUUCGUAAAUAUUAGGAGGAACACCAGUGGCGAAGGCGUCUAUCUGGUUCAAAUCUGACGCUGAGGCGCGAAGGCGUGGGGAGCAAA